CGAAGGGUCAAACCUUCCGUGGGUUCGAAUCCCACUCUCUCCG
rnacentral:tRNA from 1 species